GACAAGCAUUUUGCAUCUUCCCUUCAUUUCGAUCACACCCAGCCAGCUUCCGAUCUUUUCUCCCUUCGGAUCAGAGUAUCAGCUUAUCCACUACAUCCGGAUUCAUCCCAGCAUCAGCUCCACAUUCAUCCUUAUCCUUCCCAGCCGAAUCAAGCAACUCAGCCGGAUUCCCAUGCUUCCUCUUAGCCGUUCCAACUCCCCUGUUCCAGCUGCAACCUUAAUCAAAGAACAGAGCUGUAUGUCAUCCUCCUCUUCAUCCACAGGAUAAACUCAAGUCCCAAGCUUCCUUCCGUUCGGAUUGACUCGAUCAUCCACGUGAAGAUUCCCCUGCAUCCACAACGGUCCAGUUUUCCCGUGAUGCAUGCAAAAGGUCCCACGUUCAUAAGCAUCCUCCCGAUGGCUUCCUUCCAUUAUUCACGGGAUGAAUACCAGCAGCCUUGCAUCCGCUUCCUCCCAUCGUGUCUUCACAAUAGUCUCCACUCCCCN
rnacentral:lncRNA from 1 species